ACGUAGGUGGCAAGCGUUAUCCGGAAUUACUGGGCGUAAAGCGUGCGUAGACGGUUGCGUAAGUCAGAUGUGAAAGCCCCGGGCUCAACCUGGGAACUGCAUUCGAGACUGCAUUGCUAGAGUAUGGGAGAGGGAAGUGGAAUUUCCGGUGUAGCGGUGAAAUGCGUAGAUAUCGGAAGGAACAUCAGUGGCGAAAGCGACUUCCUGGACCAAUACUGACGCUCAUGUGCGAAAGCGUGGGGAGCAAACAGGA
rnacentral:rRNA from 1 species